rnacentral:rRNA from 1 species
AACGAACGCUGGCGGCGCGCCUAAUACAUGCAAGUCGAACGAGAAGGUGUAGCAAUACACUUGUACAGUGGCGAACGGGUGAGGAAUGCAUGGGCAACCUACCCUCGAGUGGGGAAUAACCAGCCGAAAGGUUGGCUAAUACCGCGUACGCUUCCGGGUCUCCGGAUCCGGAAGGAAAGUCACACCGUGGGUGUGACGCUCAAGGAUGGGCUCAUGUCCUAUCAGCUUGNGGUGAGGUAACGGCUCACCAAGGCAACGACGGGUAGCUGGUCUGAGAGGACGAUCAGCCACACUGGCACUGCGACACGGGCCAGACUCCUA